rnacentral:rRNA from 1 species
AGUGAACGCUGGCGGCAGGCCUAACACAUGCAAGUCGAACGGCAGCACAGUAAGAGCUUGCUCUUACGGGUGGCGAGUGGCGGACGGGUGAGGAAUACAUCGGAAUCUACUUUUUCGUGGGGGAUAACGUAGGGAAACUUACGCUAAUACCGCAUACGACCUACGGGUGAAAGUAGGGGAUCUUCGGACCUUGCGCGAUUGAAUGAGCCGAUGUCGGAUCAGCUAGUUGGCGGGGUAAAGGCCCACCAAGGCGACGAUCCGUAGCUGGUCUGAGAGGAUGAUCAGCCACACUGGAACUGAGACACGGUCCAGACUCCUACGGGAGGCAGCAGUGGGGAAUAUUGGACAAUGGGCGCAAGCCUGAUCCAGCCAUACCGCGUGGGUGAAGAAGGCCUUCGGGUUGUAAAGCCCUUUUGUUGGGAAAGAAAAGCAGCAGGUUAAUACCCCGCUGUUCUGACGGUACCCAAAGAAUAAGCACCGGCUAACUUCGUG